rnacentral:rRNA from 1 species
UACGUAGGGGGCAAGCGUUGUCCGGAUUCAUUGGGCGUAAAGGGUGCGUAGGCGGCGCGGUAAGUCGGGUGUGAAAUCUCGGAGCUUAACUCCGAAACUGCAUUCGAUACUGCCGUGCUUGAGGACUGGAGAGGAGACUGGAAUUUACGGUGUAGCAGUGAAAUGCGUAGAGAUCGUAAGGAAGACCAGUGGCGAAGGCGGGUCUCGUGGACAGUUCCUGACGCUGAGGCACGAAGGCCAGGGGAGCAAACGGG